GUCCACGCCGUAAACGAUGAUAACUAGCUGUUCGGGUUCAUAGAACUUGAGUGGCGCAGCUAACGCAUUAAGUUAUCCGCCUGGGGAGUACGGUCGCAAGAUUAAAACUCAAAGGAAUUGACGGGGGCCUGCACAAGCGGUGGAGCAUGUGGUUUAAUUCGAAGCAACGCGCAGAACCUUACCAGCGUUUGACAUCCCGAUCGCGAUUACCAGAGAUGGUUUCUUCAGUUAGGCUGGAUCGGUGACAGGUGCUGCAUGGCUGUCGU
rnacentral:rRNA from 1 species